GCCCCGGUAGCUCAGCUGGAUAGAGCAUCUGCCUUCUAAGCAGAAUGUCACACGUUCGAAUCGUGUCCGGGGUA
rnacentral:tRNA from 1 species